rnacentral:rRNA from 1 species
GAUCCAGAUCUUUGAAAUCACGGACCACUUCAGUGUCCGAGUUGUAAUCUCGAGAAGUGUUUUCCGCGCUGGACCGCAUACAAGUCUGUUGGAAUACGGCGUCAUAGUGGUGAGAACCCCGUACCUGAUGCGGAUGCCCAGUGCUUUGUGAUACACUUUCUAAGAGUCGAGUUGUUUGGGAAUGCAGCUCAAAUUGGGUGGGAAAUUCCAUCUAAAGCUAAAUAUUGGCGAGAGACCGAUAGCGAACAAGUACCGUGAGGGAAAGAUGAAAAGCACUUUGGAAAGAGAGUUAACAGUACGUGAAAUUGUUGGAAGGGAAACACUUGAAGUCAUACUUGCUAUGUGGAUUUAUUCACUUGGCAGGCCCGCAUCAGUUUCUGGGGGUGGAAAAGGGUUUGGAGAAGGUAGCAACUCCGGCUGUGUUAUAGCUCCUUGCUGGAUUCAUCUUUGGGGACUGAGGAACGCAGCGCGCUUUUUGCAAGGCUCUCGAGCUUUUCGCGCUUAGGAUGCUGGUGGAAUGGCUUUAAACGACCCGUCUUGAAACAC